CCUACGGGUGGCUGCAGUGGGGGAUAUUGGACAAUGGGGGGAACCCUGAUCCAGCGACGCCGCGUGAGUGAAGAAGUAUUUCGGUAUGUAAAGCUCUGUCAGCAGGGAAGAAAGAAAUGACGGUACCUGACCAAGAAGCCCCGGCUAACUACGUGCCAGCAGCCGCGGUAAUACGUAGGGGGCAAGCAUUAUCCGGAAUUACUGGGUGUAAAGGGAGCGUAGACGGUUAAGUAAGUCUGGAGUGAAAGGCCGGGGCUCAACCCCGGGACUGCUCUGGAAACUAUUUAACUUGAGUGCAGGAGAGGUAAGCGGAAUUCCUAGUGUAGCGGUGAAAUGCGUAGAUAUUAGGAGGAACACCAGUGGCGAAGGCGGCUUACUGGACUGUAACUGACGUUGAGGCUCGAAAGCGUGGGGAGCAAACAGGAUUAGAUACCCGGGUAGUC
rnacentral:rRNA from 1 species